AUUAUAACAUAGUGUCUCUCCAAAAUAUUUUCUAAUUCUGAAAUUCUGUGAGUAUAAAUCUAAAUAGCACGAAACAAUGGAGAGGCUAUUCAAGACCAUUUAUAGUUCCUAUCACAAAAAAAGAAAGAAUGAGAAGACAGGAGAGAGCAAAGAGUAAAACAAAAACUGAAACAAAAAACAGAAACAGAAAAGAAUAAAAAAGAAAACAGAGCAUUAAAAAUGCAUUCAGAGAUUAAGAGAAGAGAGAUUUGUUCACCUUGAUUUUUGCUCAAAAAAGCAGUCACAUGCCAAUUCAUUUCUUUUUCUUUUUUUUUGUAGAGACAUAAAAGGCACACAAUGAAAUCUUAAUAAAUGUAUUGGAUGUUUCAGCAUUAACUGAUGAGCCAGACAAUUGCCCUGGUUUUACUUUGGGAGCCACUUUUCUCUUUCAGGUGCUGUCUCAGUGGAAUAGUCAACCAAUGUAUCCUACAUUUUGGACCAGCAGAAGGAAGUAAUGAGAACGGAAAACAAAUAAGAAGUGAGUUGGAGGGAGAAGGAGACUUUAGCAUCUUCCUGAAAUCAGGAAGAAAGUUUCAAGAAUAAAGUAAUCCAUAGGGUCAAAUACUGCAGUAAGUUUAAGUAGGAUGAAGACUGCAAAGAUGGUAUUAGUUUGGUACUUAGGACAUUGGUGACCUCCACAGGUGACCUUCAGGAGAAUUAUCUGGGGAACUUGUUGAUAGAAUUUGUGAAUCUCCACCUUUAGGGAUUCUGAUUUAGAAGGAGUAGGAAGAAGGCCUUAGGAUCUCCAUUUAUAACAACCACUACUGAUUAUUUUGAGGCAGGUAGCAUACAGACCACAUUUUAAAGAAACACUAGGUAAGUGUGAUUUUCAUUCAAAGGACAAAAAACAUAAAGUUACCUAAUUCAGGGACCAUUUCAAAGACCAAAUCAAAUCAGUAGCCUGGCUGAUCUGAUCGACUGUGCAGAAACUAGCCAUUACCAUGGCAAAGUGGGGAGGAACAGUCAAUAAAAAGCAAUUGAUUUAUUGUUCAUAUGUAAGAUGAAUGUAGACAUGGAUUUUGUUUCAAG
rnacentral:lncRNA from 1 species